UACGAAGGGGGCUAGCGUUGCUCGGAAUCACUGGGCGUAAAGGGUGCGUAGGCGGGUCUUUUAAGUCAGGGGUGAAAUCCUGGAGCUCAACUCCAGAACUGCCUUUGAUACUGAGGAUCUUGAGUUCGGGAGAGGUGAGUGGAACUGCGAAGUGUAGAGGUGAAAUUCGUAGAUAUUCGCAAGAACACCAGUGGCGAAGGCGGCUCACUGGCCCGAUACUGACGCUGAGGCACGAAAGCGUGGGGAGCAAACAGGG
rnacentral:rRNA from 1 species